rnacentral:tRNA from 1 species
GCCUGAUUAGCUCAGCUGGUUAGAGCGUCGUACUAAUAUCCUCAUCUUGAAGAUACCAAGUCAUGCGAAGGUCAACAGUUCAAUCCUGUUAUUGGGCA